GAUCAUUAUUGGAUUUUCGAUGGUUGAAGCUGGCCUUUCGAGGUAACAUGCGCCCAUUGUAUAUCUACCCUUCUUUUUUGUGCACCACCGUAGUCUUUGACCGUCAAUGGAGAAGUGGAGGCCUAACACGCUUCUGGUAGGGUCAUCAGUGGCCCUUCGCUCUGGACAGAAGCCCUUGUGCUUCGAUGAGGCUAAUAUAUAAACAAAUGUAUGUCUAGAAUGUCACUUAUGGCUUUGGCCAUUAACAAAAUACAACUUUCAGCAACGGAUCUCUUGGCUCUCCCAUCGAUGAAGAACGCAGCGAAUUGCGAUAACUAAUGUGAAUUGCAGAAUCCAGUGAAUCAUCGAGUCUUUGAACGCACCUUGCGCCCUUUGGUAUUCCGAAGGGCAUGCCUGUUUGAGUGUCUUUAAUAUCUAUCAACCAAUUUGUGUUCUGUGCACAACUUGGCUUGGAUGUGAGGGUUUUUUGCUGGCUUUCGUGGUCUGCUCCCUUUAAAUGCAUUAGUGGGAAUUCUCUGCAGCCGGUCUUUCCGUGUGAUAAACCUUUACGCGGUCUGUACUUGUGGGGAAACCUGCUUAUAACCGUCCGAAAGGACAACAUUAUUUUAUGACAUUGACCUCAAAUCAGGUAGGACUACCCGCUGAACUUAAGCAUAUCAAUAAGCGGAGGAAAAGAAACUAACAGGGAUUCCCUUAGUAACUGCGAGUGAACCGGGAAAAGCUCAAAUUUAAAAUCUGGCGGUCCCUGUGGCCGUCCGAGUUGUAAUUUAGAGAAGCGUUAUCCACGCUGGCCCGUGUACAAGUCUCCUGGAAGGGAGCAUCAUAGAGGGUGAGAAUCCCGUCUUUGACACGGACUACCAGGGUUUUGUGAUACGCUCUCAACGAGUCGAGUUGUUUGGGAAUGCAGCUCAAAGUGGGUGGUAAAUUCCAUCUAAAGCUAAAUAUUGGGGAGAGACCGAUAGCGCACAAGUACCGUGAGGGAAAGAUGAAAAGAACUUUGGAAAGAGAGUUAAACAGUACGUGAAAUUGCUGAAAGGGAAACGCUUGAAGUCAGUCGUCCUGGGCGGAAAUCAGCCUUGCUUUGCUUGGUCUACUUUCUGUUCGGGGGGUCAACGUCAUUUUUGACCGGCGGACAAAGGCUUGGAGAAUGUGGCACCUUCGGGUGUGUUAUAGCUCCAUGUCGGUAUACGUUGGUUGGGAUUGAGGACCGCGGCGCGCCUUUAUGGCCGGGCACUUGUGUCA
rnacentral:rRNA from 1 species